rnacentral:rRNA from 1 species
UGGGGAAUUUUGGACAAUGGGCGCAAGCCUGAUCCAGCAAUGCCGCGUGCAGGAUGAAGGCCUUCGGGUUGUAAACUGCUUUUGUACGGAACGAAAAGGCUCUGGCUAAUACCUGGGGCACAUGACGGUACCGUAAGAAUAAGCACCGGCUAACUACGUGCCAGCAGCCGCGGUAAUACGUAGGGUGCGAGCGUUAAUCGGAAUUACUGGGCGUAAAGCGUGCGCAGGCGGUUUUGUAAGACAGAGGUGAAAUCCCCGGGCUCAACCUGGGAACUGCCUUUGUGANUGCAAGGCUGGAGUGCGGCAGAGGGGGAUGGAAUUCCGCGUGUACAGUGAAAUGCGUAGAUAUGGCGGAGGAACACCGAUGGCGAAGGCAAUCCCCUGGGCCUGCACUGACGCUCAUGCACGAAAGCGUGGGGAGCAAACAGGAUUNGAUACCCUGGUAGUCCACGCCCUAAAGCGAUGUCAACUGGCUUGUUGGGUCUUAAUUGACUCAGUAACGAAGCUAACGCGUGAAG